GCGUCACGUCCGGCCCACUUUCACCUCCCGGCAGCCGGCGAGGCUUUUCCGAGGCAAAACAGCGGAGUAGGUGGUCCUAGCCACUCACUGGUUUGUUUUUCCAACCCUUUUAAGCACUCUCCAGAAUAUCUUCACUUAACAAUUGGGUAAGCCUGGCCGUAGUAACCGUUUGCACCUUUCCAAGUCCCUGUGAAAACCUCGCCUAAGCCUGUGGCAGAGAUGUCAGGCCCCAGUCUUCCAGCCUGAAAGGAAGGGAAACGAAUAUUAUUAAAGCAUUUCUGAUGCUAAAUGCGAUACAAAUGAUAUUUUUCCUUUUAAUCUUCGUAACGAUUGAUAGGAAAGUGAGGCUAGGAAACUGCAGUUCACCCCAAAUCUCACAGGGAACAAAAUGGUGGGGUCAAGAUUGAAAAAUGGCUUAAGCUUAAGCAUGCUUCCAGUGAGAAUCCCACGAGGGCAGGGAGUUUUUUGCUGUAACUCCAGCACCGAGAACAGUACCUGGUACUAGCAUACCUUCAGCGUUCGUUUAUCCAACCACUCUUUGCUGAGCAACAAAGAUGUGCCAGGUACAGCUCAAGGCGCUUGCAGUACUUCGUGAACAAAAUAGACAAAGAUCUCUAUUCUAUCUGUAGCUACAAAAAGUACCAAAAUUAGCCUGGCGCGGUAGUGCGUGCUUGUGGUCCCAGCUACUCUGGAGGCUGAGGCAGGAGAACCGCUUGAGUUGGGAGGCGGAGGUUGCAGUGAGCUGAGAUCGCGGCACUGCACUCCAGCUUGGGCGACAGAGCGAGAUCCUCCUCAAAAAUAAAUUAGUAAAAGGAGCUGCUGUAUGGGACUAGGGGUGGGGGUGCAAUGCCUAUAGCUAAG
rnacentral:lncRNA from 10 species